rnacentral:lncRNA from 1 species
GCGGCGCGAGAGAGAGAACCCUAGGUUUCUGUUUGUUCUAAAAAAAUUUUGGGCCUUUUGUGCCGGUGCACUUUUGGGGUUGGGUCUAGGUUUAAUAUUAAUUUGGGCUUGGUUUUUUUUGUAAUUGGACUGUAAUGGACUGUGGUUUUUUUAUUUGUUUAUUUUAUUUUAUAUUUUCUUUUGGUUUUCUUGUGUUUGCUUGGGUCGGGCAAAUUUGGCCCAUUACAGCUGCUCCUCUUUGCUCAUUGUCGUGUAACGAGAAUGAAGCAAAGACUAUAAAAAGGACCAAAUUUGCUCGGUCUGGCUAAGUCUCAAAGUCUUGAUCCUCAUCUUCCCUAAAGGUAUUCUAAUGUCUUCAGGAGUGUCCAAUUGGCUAUCUUCCACUUGCUUCUUGAAAACUCGGGAACACCAAUCUGUUAUUUUCAAUCUGCUCUCUACCAAUAUAGAUACGCCAAAUCUGUCAUUUUCGAUCUGCCCUCUGACAAUACAGAGACACCAAAUCUAUUAUAUUCGAUUUGCUCUCCGCCACUACAGAGACGCCAAAUCUGUUAUCUUCGAUCUGCUCUCCGGCACUAAAGAGAUGGAAAAUCUGUUAUCUUCGAUCUGCUCUCCGCCAUUAUAGAGACGCCAAAUUUGCUAUCUUCGAUCUACUCUCCGCCAAUAUAGAGACGCUAAAUCUGCUAUCUUUGAUCUGCUCUCCACCAACACAGAGAAGCCGAAUCUGUCAUCUUCGAUCUGCUCUCCGCAACUACAGAGAUGCCAAAUCUGUUAUCUUCGAUCUGCGCUCCGCCACUACAGAGAUGCCAAAUCUGCUAUCUUCGAUCUGCUCUCUGUCAACAUAGAGAUGCCAAAUCUGUUAUCUUCGAUCUGCUCUCUGCCACUUCAGAGAGGCCAAAUCUGCUAUCUUCGAUCUACUCUCCGCCAAUAGGGAGACGCCAAAUCUGCUAUCUUCGAUCUGCUCUCCGCUACUACAGAGAUGCCAAAUCUGUUAUCUUCGAUCUGCACACCGCCACUACAGAGAUGCCAAAUCUGCUAUCUUCGAUCUGCUCUUUGUCAACACAGAGAUGCCAAAUAUGUUAUCUUCGAUCUGCUCUCUGCCACUACAGAGACGUCAAAUCUGCUAUCUUCGAUCUGCUCUCCGCCAACACAGAGACGCCAAAUCUGCUAUUUUUGAUCUGCUCUCCGCCAAUACAGAAAUGCCAAAUCUGCUAUUUUCGAUCUGCUCUCUGCCAAUAUAGAGACGCCAAAUCUGCUAUCUUCGAUUUGCUCUCCACCACUACAGAGAUGCUAAAUCUGCUAUCUUCGAUUUGCUCUCCGCUACUACAGAGACGCCAAAUCUGUCUGGUCUUGUAGGAUCUUUACUUCUUUGGUGCUUCUCUUCUUCAAGUGGCCCCAUUGUAUUUCUAAAGGUGUAAGAACUGUUGCUUUGAUCUACUCCACUGCGGCUACUUGAGGCUUGUUGCUUUAAUCUAUUCUUCCGUAAUUAGCUUGAUCUGUUCUAUCGCGACUUCGAGAAGAUAAGAUCUACAAUCUUCAGCCCAAUUCACUACAACCUUAGGGAGCUAGAACUUGCUUAAAUCUGCUUCGCUGCAUCUUCAGGAAGCCAAGAUUUAUCGUCUUUGAUUUGCCUCACUGCAACUUCAGGGAGACGAGAUCUACAAUCCUCAGCUUACUCCACUACAACUUUAGAGAGCUAGAACUUGCUUAAAUCUGCUUUACUGCAACAUCAGGAAGCCUAGAUUCGCCGUCUUCGAUCUGCCCCACUGCAAUCUCAGGGAAGCAAGAUCUAUAAUCUUCAGCCUACUCCACUACAACCUUAGGGAGCUAGGAUGCUUAAAUCUGCUUCGCUGCAUCUUCAGGAAGCCAAGAUUUAUCUUCUUUGAUUUGCCUCACUGCAACUUCAGGGAGGCGAGAUCUACAAUCCUCAGCCUACUCCACUACAACUUUAGAGAGCUAGGACUUGCUUAAAUCUGCUUUACUGCAACAUCAGAAAGCCUAGAUUCGCCGUCUUCGAUCUGCCCUACUGCAAUCUCAGGGAAACAAGAUCUAUAAUCUUCAGCCUACUCCACUACAACCUUAGGGAGCUAGGAUGGUGGCUUAAAUCUACUUCACUGCAACUUUAGGAAGCUCAGAUUCGUCGUCUUCGAUCUGUUUCACUGUAACUUCAGGGAAACAAGAUCUUGAAAUUUUAGCUUACUCCACUACAACUUUAGGGAGCUAGGUUGGUGGCUUAAAUCUGCUUCACUGCAACUUCAGGAAGCUCAGAUUCGCCGUCUUCGAUCUGCUUCACUUCAAUUUUAGGGAAACAAGAUCUAAAAUUUUAGCCUACUCCACUACAACUUUAGGGAGCUAGGUUGGUGGCUUAAAUCUGCUUCACUGCAACUUCAGGAAGCUCAGAUUUGCCAUCUUCGAUCUGCUUCACUGCAACUUCAGGGAAACAAGAUCUGAAAUUUUAGCCUACUCCACUACAACUUUAGGGAGCUAGGUUGGUGGCUUAAAUCUGCUUCACUGCAAAUUCAGGAAGCUCAGAUUCGUCGUCUUUGAUCUGCUUCACUUCAAUUUCAGGGAAACAAGAUCUAAAAUUUCAGCCCCAUAGGCCCAUGCUUAUGCCGAAUAAUUAGGAUGUUAUGAUCAACAUGAAUCAAUUGUUCCUAACUAGAUGUGAUGUUUGUGUCAAAUAAUUGGAAUGCUAUGAUUGAAAUGAAUCGAAUGCUUCUAACUAGAUGUGUUAUGAAUGAUAUGGAAAUGAAAAAGACCUAGGUAUCAUUGCUCGUUCAUCAGGACAUUAUCACUGACGUAUUACGCGGCCACCUUGUUCAGCUGGUAUUCUUGACAGAAAACCCAAAGAAACUCAAUCUGCUUGGCAAGCUUGCCCUACUGAAAUUUUAUUGAGUUUUUGCUUAUCCAACCCACUGCAACUCAGGGUAUAGGAUCAAUUUGAUCAUCCUUCGGGUGUAAUGACCCGGUGUGCAUGUCUGAUAUUCAUGUGAAUGCGGAAUAUCAUUUUUCUUUUCCUGAUAACAAUCCCUCUUUUACACUUGGGUUGACAUUGCUCGUCAUUUGUCAAGGUUGUAUCACCGAUGAAAUAUCUUGCCUCUUCAUUCAACCGAUACCUUUGAUAGAAAAUCUGAAGAGAUAGCCAUAAUUUAGACUCCUCCUUCUCAAACAUUUCCAUCCCUUAGAUUUGGUGGGUUCUCAACAACAGUCUUGUUUCAGGUUCUUGUACUAUUUAGAAGCCUCUCGAGUAAUAUGCAAGACUUCUUUUAUGAAAGUGUUAUUGGUCCAUUAAUCUUUAUUUCAAUGCAACAUGCUCGAAAAAGAUCAAAACAAUGGACAAGAAGGAAAUUGGGUAAGAGCACAGCUUGAAGCAAAUAAGUUAAUCAAAGAUUGCAAAUGCAACAAGAAGGAAAUUAACUCAACAUGAAUGGGUUAAUCAAAGAUAACGAUGCAAUAAGAAGGAAAUUUAUUGGGAUGUAUCUUGAAAAGAAUAAGGCAAUCAAAGAUAAUAAAUUCAAAAUGAGCAAAAUGGAAACUAGGUGCCCCAGAUAUCGCAGCUUGAGCUUCCCUGUACUAACUUCUUGAGGACCUUUCUGAUCUCAAUAUGUGUUUAGGGGAUCCGCGGCACUUUGUCGAUGCCCCAAGAUGUAGCAUGCUUCUUUAUUGUUAAUUUAGAUAUAGCAAGACUACUGUAUGCCUCACUUUGAUCCAAAUUUGAGCCGCCCUUUCGGGUUUUCAACUCAAAUCCCCCUUGGUCUCAAGGCGCCCUUUGCGGGUUUUCGCUUUGGCCUCUCCUUUUCUUUCUUUCUUUCUUUUUUUUUAUUUUAUUAUUUUUUGAAGAUCUCAGAGUAUCAUUUGAUGGUUUUCGCUGUGGCCUUUCACUUUCCUUCGAAGUCCUUUUAUGUAAAAAAGAACUUUUCAAUGCCAGGUCUCCCUCAUGGAAUCCUCUAGGAAGAACCUUUCCGAUGUAAGCUUGCAUCAUUCAUUUCUGGUACAUUGGGCCAUGUCAUAUGGCUUUCAAUCUCCUUUCUUCAAAUUCAACUGAUCAUAUCGGGGUUAAAUCUAUUCUGCCUAAUCCAACUUCAGCUAAGACUUGACCAAAAGAAAUCUUUCUUUCAAAAUCCAUCGAACAAUGUAUUGCCCCGGCGAAGGUUCUGGCCGACGUUUGACAAAUAUAGAGGGUAAAAGAUAACUUCUUUAUGCCAAUAUUUACAAGACUGGGUCAUUUUUCACUAUGGCUUUUGUUCUAUUGUUUGCUUUUCCCUUUUUUUUUUCUUUUUUUUUAUAUUUUUGAACUUUUUGUCUUUCUUUUUGGAUGCCUUUACUGCACUGUAAUAUGGUGCCUGAUCCUUGAACAAAUUGCAAACUUUUGACAUUGUGUAUUUGAAGAUAAUCCUUUUUGACAUUACUUGUCAGCAACCGCUUCUCUUUUUCUUUCUUCUUUUUUUUUUGAAAUUUGACGACUAUUAAUCUUGUAAUUAUUGACACAUGAAGUGACCCUCACCCCCUUCGUGACUACCAAGAUGAAUUGAUGAGAAUGGCCUGAUAACAUCCUUGCCUCGUAUAGGGAAAAUUUGUGAAGAAAUGAAUGUGGCUUUAACCAAUGUAAUCCUCUUCCAUGGUGGAUCAACAAUAUCUAAACCUCAUGAUUAGCGUAGCUACCAUGAAACCUUUAACAUGUGUCCUUUUGGCACUGUAUAGACAUUUUGUAUCAUCCGCAGAUCUUAAUAUCUCAAAUAUAUCUCGACAUGAUCAUGUGAAAACAUCUUUGAAUUUCUUGAAGUAACUCAAAGACAAUUCAUUUUGUCCCUGUGGUGACUCUGGUUUGAAUCUUUGCCCUUUGUUCACAAUGUCCAUUGACCCUUUGUAAAGUAGGAUCAAUUUUUUCAUCUUGUUCUACCGUCCUUAACAAAUCAGGAAAUAAGUCACAAUCUCUGUCAUCUUCAAGGUCCUGAGAUCCCUCUAGACACAUAUCUUGCUAAAAAAAAGACUCGGAAUUAAUGACAGCGUCGCUCACGUUAUUGAUAUCUGGAGACCUGUUAGAGGUACGAAGGCAUAUUUCAAAGAAUAAAUGAUUCUAUGAAUGAUUAUUUGUAUGGUAUGAUCAUGAAUGAAAGAAUCUAAGAAUAGACAUAUAAAAUAUAAAGAAUAAAAGAAUAUUUACUCAAACAUGUAUUUCAUUGAAAUAAAGAUUUUGGAUAUAAGCUUAUUUCACAAAAGGAUUCUUGUUGCUUCUAGGCUUAAAACAACAAGUGUGUUUUGAAUAUUACUCUAGAUUAGCUCUAAAAAAUACAAAGAUCCUUUUCACAGUCCUAUUGUUCAAAACACCCUAAGUACGUAAAGACAGGAGCUUGGAAAAGUCUACUCCCGGGUUCCCUCUUCUGAUACAUCGUUGAUGAUCGAGUUCCCCAAUACCAGGCCUUGCAUUAGAGUCCCGAACUCGAUGCACCCUUAAAUCUCGUGCCCCAAUCUAGCAUGGAACUCAUAACAUUCACCUCUUUAACAGAAAGGUUGGAUAACUGAUUUCCCGCUCCAGAGGGACCAUCAAAUUCCACAAUACCCAAUUUAAUAAAUCUUUCGAUUAGCUUCUUAAAAGUGAUACAGUUUUCAAUAGAAUGCCCCGUGAUUCCUGCAUGGUAUUCACAUCGGCUGCUUGCGUCAUACCAUUUAGGGUAUGGAGGUUGUAUUGGUUUUAUGUAAAAAAGGGAUACAACACGUGUGUCAAACAGAACGCGGUACAACUCUCCAUAUGUGAUUGGAAUGGGCGUGUAUUGGGGUUUUUCUGAGUUCUAUUUUCGAUUGGGUUCUUGCCUUGAGGAGGCCUAAUGGCUGGUAGCUACUGACCUUGGUCGGCCUGCUAUAAUAGGCUCCGAACGACCCUUGUUAUACCUACUUGUACUAUUUGCCUUCUUUUCUUUCUUUUUCGGGGCCGUUAAAGUCUGCUCUCCCCUUGCUUUUGUUUCUGCCAGAGCAACUGGAUUGGCUUGAUCAUCUUUCGGGUUAAAACUUGAACCCAUCGAGAAACUCAUCAGUGUUGAUGUAUCCGUCUGAUAUUGGUGUCUGAUAACAGCGGGUACCCCUUGCAUGUCUGGUUGGGUCGGGACGCUUAUUAGGGUAAAGCCUAGGGAGUAAAUGAUCUCUUCAACAUCAUCCCCACCAUUGACCACUGGGCCACUCCUUUUUUUGAAUUCUCCGGCCAGUAAAUGGGUUACCUGGCCCAUCAUAUUUCUUUGGAGUUCUAGCAUUUCUCGCAUAUCUUGUUGAAUUUCGAUCAACUGCUCUUGCAUCUGUAUUUGCCUUUGCUCCAUUCUCUCCAACCUUUGGUCCAUAUCUUUUGUCGGUUCUGAAAUAACUUUAUCUAAUUAGGGUCCUUUUGGGAAAUUUAAUGCAAAUGAUGCAAUGCAAUGCUAUGCAAAUGAUGCAAUGCAAUGCAAUGCAAUGCAAUGUAAAUGCAUGGGAUGAAUGCAAAGGAAAGGAAGAUGUUGAUUUUGAAUUCAAUUCCCCUAGAACAACUUUUCUAUAAAACAAAUUCUUUUUCAUAAAACGAAUUACGUAUACGGCCUUGCUUUCAUAUUCGAGGCGAAGGCACUGAUCCCCUUUCUUCGUGAAAGUCAAAUCUCGUAAGCUUCCAAUGCAUGCCUCUACUGGCUCAUUUUGCUUGAUCCAGGCCACGAAUUACUAUCUUCGCAAUGUUAAUUAGCUCCUUUAAGAAAUUCGGGAUAUGAUGGCUUUUGGAUAAUCUUUAUCAACUUGAAUCCUUAGGUAAAGUUUUGUUUUCCUCCACGAACUGUUAGCCUUCUUCUGUCGUGUUCACUUGGACCAAAUUCGGACAACCGUAUUGUAAUCCGCGUUAUUAAGAAAUUUGUUUUCUUAUGACAAAUUGUUCUAUUUAGCAAUUGAAUAUGAAUCAACACCUCCUUUCUAUGAUGAUGUAAUGCAAUGCAAUCAUGAACAAACAAAACACGUUAGUACAGAAAUAAACAACCAACAAAGUACCUAAUCGGGUGAUCACUAGGGGUUCGGAGUGGCUCUACCUAAGGUAAGCUCCUAGGUCUCUCUAUAUGUUGGUUGGUUCUAGAGUAAGGGUACCCGAACCAGUAGAUUCCUCGAUCCUCACCCAUUAUAGGCUCAUGUAGAUCGAGUUCGGUUCGAGGGGAUACAUUUCCCUAUGAUUAUGCAGAGAUGAAAAUCUCACGAAAUCAUAGGUACGGAUGUACCCCGGAAGGAAUCCACUAGCCCAUGCGGAGGUGAAAACCUCACGAAAGCGUAGUUUCUUACUCCCACUUAGAAGGUGUAACGACAGCGGUCAUGUAAUGCAAUGCAACAUCAUUCUACUAGACCCACAUCAAAACGAUCAUAUAAUCGAAUGCAAAAAACAAAUUUUCAAUUUCUGACAAAAGGGCAACAAAUAAUCAAAUUUAUGGCUAGACUCUCUCUAAUCCCCAGUGGAGUCACCAAGCUGUCGAAACCAUCCCUUUUUCAAAUUUUAUAAUUUUAAAUUUAAUGAAAAAUGGGGGAAUCGACUUUUGAAAAAAAUAGAAAUAAGGGAGUCGCCACCGAUCUUUUUGUUUUGGGUGUGAUCGGAUCACCUAAAAAUUUGGUUAUUUUAAUAAAAGAUUUGCGAUUUACUAAAACAAUGACUCUGGUCUACGAAAAUUUUGGAAAAAUGGGCUCGAGAGUCGGUUACGCAUGAGGAAGGAUUAGCACCCUCACUACGCCCAAAAUUGGUACCAAAUCAAUUAAAUACUGUCCUUAUGUCUAAAAAAUGUUUUUCGGAAUGUGGCUCAUUUUAAUAAAAGUUGAAUAACUCGAGUUGAUUGGCAAAAAUCUUUUUGUCUCGACGUCUGAAAAUUUAUAGUUUGAAAAUCACGAAAGGAUGCUCAACUAUUUAGUCCAACAAAAAAUCGAAACCCAGCACAGUAGGGCACGAUUUCUCAAAUUUCCGAACAUUGAACAUUGCCUCUCGAGUGAAAUUUCGAAGGGGUCUUCGAUUGUUUUGAGCAGAUGAAAAGGCACAACCCAGCACGAUAGGGCUCAAUUUUCAAACCGCCAAACAUCGGACAUCGCCUUCGUUUUGAAAGGUUUUUAAUAAACAUGAAUGAAAACCUAAAGAAAUAUUAGAUUGUUUUGAGCAAACGAGAAAUCACAACCCAGCUCGAUAGGGCAUGAUUCCCGAAUUGUUAAACACCGAAUAUUGCCUUCGUUUUAAAGGAUUUUUAGAAGACACGGAUGAAAUUCUAAAGGGACCUUCGAUUACUUUGAGCAAACGAGAAAUUGCAACCUAACACGUUAGGGUACGAUUCCGCGAAUUACCAAGUAUCGAAUAUCGCUUUCGUUUUAAAGAAUUCCUAAUAGUUGUGAAGCUAGCUUAAAACACAUUAAUUCAUUUCGAAAUAAGACAAAAUUAAUCAUAAAGAUUUGAAUUUUAUAAAGAGAACCACAUUUCGCAAACUAAAUGAAAAAUGAUGACAUGGGAUAAAGGGUACGUACGAGACAUGGUCCAUUAAUAAACUAAUAAUUAAGCGGGACUAAUCAAAAAAGGUAUUACGAUUACGAUAAUGCGUGGAGAAUAAUUAACAUAAUAAUACAAUGAUGAAAAUGAUAACAUAACAAUCAUACAAGCAGAACAAUACAUACAAUAAUAUGUCACAACAAUACACAUAGCAUGAUAUAGAAUAACUAAUGCAAAAUAUAAAAACAACAUUGCAAUUAGAAGCCAAUGUGCUAAAAGACGGUUUUAAAAAAACGAAUAAAUGGGCCCAUACAUAUGGGUUGACCAAUUUGUAUAUAAAAGAAAACCAGAGCUAGAUAUAUGAUUUUUGAAAUAGAUAUUAUAGAAUGAAACUUUGAAUCAAAUUGCAUGCAAAACGUUUCUAAACACAAAUAUAUUUAAAAGUUGACAAACUUCAUGAUGGUUUAAGUAAUAUAUCUAAUAUAAAAGGAGUAAUAAUGAAGAUAUACGACAAGACAGGAUACCAAAAUAAAUUUAUAAAACAUGUGUACGUGGAAGUUUAUUAUAGAAAAGGAACGUGAAAUUAAUACUAAGACAUAUAUAAAUUUUUUUUAAAAAAUACUCUAAAAAUUGUGCAUACUCUUAUAUCAGAACAUUUAAAAUAAUGGACUAUAUAUACACAAGAGCAAUAUGAUGUAAAGAUAUACACAAAUAAUAAUUUUAUAAUUACAAGAAGAAACAAUAAAAUUUCCAAAAUUAUUUUACGCAUAUAUAGAGAGAGAAAAUACUCAAUAAAUCACAAAGCAACAAGUGUUUUAAGUAAAAUAAAAUAAAAUUAAAUUAAAUUAAAGCAAUAAGUGUAUUAAUAUAUAUACAUAUAUAUUUAAAAAUAAAUACAUGUAAAACAACAUAAAAAUGGUAACAUAUAUAGGGCUAAAUUAAUUUUAUUAUAAAUUACACAAUAGAUUUAAAAAACAACAUGUUUGUAUGUGUAUAGAGGAAAAUACAUGUAUAAAAUACACGUGUUUAGUAACGUAUAGAUCAAAUAUGGAUAUCUACUAAUAUAUAUACAUACAUGAUAAUAAUUUAAAAACAUAUUACGGGGAUUAUAUGAUGAAGUUCAAGAAUAAAUUUGAAAAGAAAUCACGUAUAAAAAAAAUACUAUAAGGUUGAUAAUAGUAUAUAUACGUACAAAACUUUAGUACAAACUAUGUAUAUAAAUAUAUAUAAUGGCGCAUAUAAAACAUUUACACGAAAUAUACAAAACAUAUCAAAAUAACCGAAUGUAUGAGUAAAUUAAUUAAGAUAAAAUUAGAACAAGAAAAUGGUUGAUUUGCACAUAAAAUAAUCUACAAAGGACCAAUGCGCGAAAUGCACCAGCGUGUAGGGACCAGAACUGAGAAUAAACCCAGCUCUAAAAAACAGCGCAGAGGCAUGGACCAAUGUGAAUUCUUGCGUAAACUAUGGGAAAAAAUUAAAAAAAAAGGAAACACACACGCAAGCUGAUUUGGACCGGACCCAAAUGGGGAGGGAUCGAAGUGGCAAAUAACCCUCACCGCUAAAACACGCGGGUCAUCGGGGCAGCAAGCCGGAUUUGGUUUGGGCUCCACCAAACGACGUCGUUUUUGAGCCAUUGAAUUGUGCUUGAAACGACGUCGCAUUUGGCCCUUUAAAAAGGCUAAAAACUGGGUCAUUCGGCCAAACCCUAGCCCCUUCCCCUCUUUCAUUGCUUAAUCGACCCCCAAGUGCUCUUCUCAGCACUAAUGCGCCACCACGAGCGACGGUCUGCGCGCUCGAGCCCUAAAGGAGGGGUUUUCAUCUUUGAAACCCCCAUUCAGACUUCGAUUUCGACGAAGUGAAGGGCGAACGACAGCUAGUUUCGCAAGGUAAACCUCUCUUUCGCUUUCUUUUUUUGUUUUUGAGAUAGAUUUCAAAAUAAAAAGAAAAUAGAGGCGUAAAAAUGAAAACAGGUAACAACCUUUGCAGAAUAUUCAACUUCUUUGUAUUUGAUUCCUUUUUUUGUGUGUAAUAUGUUCGUAGUCUCCUCUUACAAUCGAAAACCAAAGGCUUUAUAGCGGAAUAACUAAAGAAAACAACAAUUUUUGUCCUCUGCUUUUGUAUUGGCUUAUUGCUGCUUUUGUUUGUUUUCUUUUGCAGGUACGGAGCACGGGGCUGUACGUUGGCGCUCGGGUACGGGUCUAGGCUGGAGUACGGAGACGCGUGUGCAUGGCUGCUGGAGGGUACGGAGGCCAGGGCCAAGGUUUGGCUGCGGCGCGAGAGAGAGAACCCUAGGUUUCUGUUUGUUCUAAAAAAAUUUUGGGCCAUUUGGGCCGGUGUACUUUUGGGGUUGGGUCUAGGUUUAAUAUUAAUUUGGGCUUGGUUUUUUUUGUAAUUGGACUGUAAUGGACUGUGGUUUUUUUAUUUGUUUAUUUUAUUUUAUAUUUUCUUUUGGUUUUCUUGUGUUUGCCUGGGUCAGGCAAAUUUGGCCCAUUACAAAUUUAAUCAAAUAUUUUAGCUGAAAUAUUUUUGUGCUUGCUUAACCCAACUGGAAGGAAUGUAGUCCUUUAUUGAGUAGUUGUACUCAAUCAUUACUUUAAUAAUUUACAUGUUCAGAUUUGGUCAUGAAUGUGGGAUGUCCAGACAGUGAUGUUUUUAAACUUUAAUUCAAUGUUGUAAAUGUUGAAGAUGUUAUGAUUUCAUAUAUUCUUUAAGUUAAUAGAUUCCUAGACUAUACAAAUUAUAAUUGUUGAUGAAUAAUUGUAUUAUAAAGUUUUAAUAUUGUC